CACGUAGGGCGCAAGCGUUGUCCGGAAUUACUGGGCGUAAAGCGCGCGUAGGCGGCUUUGUAAGUUAGAGGUGAAAGCCCGGGGCUCAACCCCGGAACUGCCUUUAAGACUGCAUCGCUUGAAUCCGGGAGAGGUGAGUGGAAUUCCGAGUGUAGAGGUGAAAUUCGUAGAUAUUCGGAAGAACACCAGUGGCGAAGGCGGCUCACUGGACCGGCAUUGACGCUGAUGUGCGAAAGCGUGGGGAGCAAACAGG
rnacentral:rRNA from 1 species